rnacentral:rRNA from 1 species
UACGUAGGGUGCGAGCGUUAAUCGGAAUUACUGGGCGUAAAGCGUGCGCAGGCGGUUCGUUGUGUCCGGUGUGAAAGCCCCGAGCUUAACUUGGGAAUGGCAUUGGAAACUGGCGAGCUGGAGUGUGGCAGAGGGGGGUGGAAUUCCACGUGUAGCAGUGAAAUGCGUAGAGAUGUGGAGGAACACCGGUGGCGAAGGCGGCAUCCUGGACCACGACUGACGCUGAGUGAGCGAAAGCCAGGGGAGCAAACGGG